GCCUCGCCGGCCUGCCAACUUCGGUUCCUGCCUGAAAAACGAAAACAGCCGAGGAAGAGAGACGGAGGACGGGAGUGUUAAAAGCCGAACUCGGUGGUCGGAGUCACCGCCUCCGGCUGCUCCUGUGGGAAAAAUCAAAACAGAGAAAAAACAUGAGAAGGCUGCUGAGAUGUGACCUUAAUAAGCUCCACUGAGCUUUGUCAGCCAUGAGGGAACUCCUUGGUGUGUCAGCAUCAUCUGCACUGAAAAAUAUCCAUCUGAAAGCCGGGAGUUAUGGCAGAAGAAAGAGAGCCAGAUCCCAGAGAGAAGGUGAGAGCCAGAUCAGUCUCCACAGACCCACUGGGUGGCAGCACUAUCUCAUGGGACCUCAAAAUCCUUUUGGAGCCC